GCCUCCGGGAGCCCAGCAGGUUUCGGAUUUCCGAAGGGUGGCGCAGGCCUGGGAAACAGACCCGGCCGCCCACAAAGGUCCUGACUCUGAAUGGUUGAAAAACCAAUCUCCACUGAAGGAAGAGAAGAUAGAAUAAAAGAGUAUCAGCGUCCACCUGGUACCAUAAGGAUAAUGUUUGUUUUGGUUGUGAAUAAGGCAGAGCUGCCUUGAUGGCUCAGUGGUAAAGACUUCACCUUGCAAUGCAGGAGACAUGGGUUCGAUCCCUGAUCUGGGAAGAUCCUCCAUGCCGAAGGGCAACUAAGCCCAUGUGCUGCAACUAUUGAGCUCUAGAGCUGGGGAACUGCAACUACUGAAGCCUGUGUGCCCUAGAGAAGCCUCUGCACCACAUCAAGAGAAGCCACUGCAUUGAGAAGCCUGUGUACCACAACUAGAGAGUAGCCCUUACCUGCUGCAACUAGAGAAAAGCCCACGCAGCAACAAAAACCCAGUACAGCCAAAAGUUAAAAAAAUAAAUAAAUAAGGAUGAGACAGCAGGGGCCCAAGUGGGCGGUACAAGCUGGAGGUUCUCAUGAAAAAAAGGGAGGACAGUGUCGCCUCCCUCCAUGAACACUGACACCCCUUCCACGUGCCAAAAGAACCACUCCCGCCACCACCACCCACCACCAUGGGGUCAAGGAACACGGCCUGCUGAGGCCAACAGACCACAGACCCAACAGAGCCACAUCCUAAGCCCUCCCCUCCGUACAGAAGCAUAGUCGGCUGCCUGAUGAGCCACAGCUUGGAGCUCUGCCAAGGCCAGGGCCGGAGUUUGAGAGACAGCUACCUCGGAUAACACCUGCUUCAUAGGCGAGGAAUGCGCUCAGCUGGGCCUGCCAGCCGUCACCGACCAACCACUCUGUGAACCCUUCCUUCUCCCUGAGACCAAGGUGGGAGGCCUGACUGAGGCUGGCCAGAGGCCCUGCUAGAAACCAGCCUUGGACCUCUCCCCACCCAGGUUUAGACAGGGGUGUCCUUCGUAAUACAAGGCAGGGCAUGGGCGCCCCGGCCUAGGGAGAACCCUUGCCAGCUUCGCCAUCCUCUCCCAACCCCCCUAGCCUGCACUCGAGAGGGAGGUGGGGCUGGGGAAGGAAGUGUGGUUACAGAGAAGAGGAACUCAACCGCUUACACGGGCCGAGGCUGGGGCAUUGUCUUGCUUUGAAAACCCCCAGAUUUUAUUUUGCUAAAGCUUGCAAUUUCUUCUGUGUGUGAAUGGCACUUGGAAAUCUGUUUGUAAUGGAUCUUGAUUGUAUCCAGCUGUCACCAACUGUUCCCCUGCCGCCUAAAAGACAGCUGGCCACGUGCCACAUAGUCCAGGCUCUCACUUCAAAUAGAGGAGCUAAUGCUCUGGU